CGGGACGGGUGAGUAAUGUCUGGGAAACGUGCCUGAUGGAGGGGGAUAACUACUGGAAACGGUAGCUAAUACCGCAUAACGUCGCAAGACCAAAGAAGGGGGACCUUCGGGCCGUCUUGCCAUCGGAUGUGCCCAGAUGGGAUUAGCUAGUAGGUGGGGUAACGGCUCACCUAGGCGACGAUCCCUAGCUGGUCUGAGAGGAUGACCAGCCACACUGGAACUGAGACACGGUCCAG
rnacentral:rRNA from 1 species